AUAUCACAAAGUCAUAAAGUGCCGAGAACGUCAAAAUGGUCGCAAACAAAUUUGUAAAGGUAGCACUUUUGCUGAUCCUGAUAAUAGCGUCAGCGGAGGCAGUUCCCGUGCUGUGCGUCGCCAAGUUUGCCCUUCAUCUGGAGCACCUGAUAGCGAGCAUCGUACGGUACGAGCGCAGUUCCAACAAGCAGUGCGUUUCCUUUGCUGGCUCGGUGGCAAAAGAUGUCGUCAAGCUGGUCAAUGAUUUGCGCAGUUGUAUGUCGGUUUGAGGUUUUGGAUGGAAAUGUGCAAUAAAUAACUUUUUAAAU